UUAAGCGACUAAGCGUACACGGUGGAUGCCCUGGCAGUCAGAGGCGAUGAAGGACGUGCUAAUCUGCGAAAAGCGUCGGUAAGGUGAUAUGAACCGUUAUAACCGGCGAUGUCCGAAUGGGGAAACCCAGUGCAAUUCGUUGCACUAUCGUUAACUGAAUACAUAGGUUAACGAGGCGAACCGGGGGAACUGAAACAUCUAAGUACCCCGAGGAAAAGAAAUCAACCGAGAUUCCCCCAGUAGCGGCGAGCGAACGGGGAGCAGCCCAGAGUCUGAAUCAGCUUGUGUGUUAGUGGAACGGUCUGGAAAGUCCGACGGUACAGGGUGAUAGUCCCGUACACCAAAAUGCACAGGCUGUGAACUCGAAGAGUAGGGCGGGACACGUGGUAUCCUGUCUGAAUAUGGGGGGACCAUCCUCCAAGGCUAAAUACUCCUGACUGACCGAUAGUGAACCAGUACCGUGAGGGAAAGGCGAAAAGAACCCCGGCGAGGGGAGUGAAAAAGAACCUGAAACCGUGUACGUACAAGCAGUGGGAGCACCUUCGGGUGUGACUGCGUACCUUUUGUAUAAUGGGUCAGCGACUUAUAUUCUGUAGCAAGGUUAACCGUAUAGGGGAGCCGCAGGGAAACCGAGUCUUAACUGGGCGUUAAGUUGCAGGGUAUAGACCCGAAACCCGGUGAUCUAGCCAUGGGCAGGUUGAAGGUUGGGUAACACUAACUGGAGGACCGAACCGACUAAUGUUGAAAAAUUAGCGGAUGACUUGUGGCUGGGGGUGAAAGGCCAAUCAAACCGGGAGAUAGCUGGUUCUCCCCGAAAGCUAUUUAGGUAGCGCCUCGUGAAUUCAUCUUCGGGGGUAGAGCACUGUUUCGGCUAGGGGGUCAUCCCGACUUACCAACCCGAUGCAAACUACGAAUACCGAAGAAUGUUAUCACGGGAGACACACGGCGGGUGCUAACGUCCGUCGUGAAGAGGGAAACAACCCAGACCGCCAGCUAAGGUCCCAAAGUCAUGGUUAAGUGGGAAACGAUGUGGGAAGGCACAGACAGCCAGGAUGUUGGCUUAGAAGCAGCCAUCAUUUAAAGAAAGCGUAAUAGCUCACUGGUCGAGUCGGCCUGCGCGGAAGAUGUAACGGGGCUAAACCAUGCACCGAAGCUGCGGCAGCGACACUAUGUGUUGUUGGGUAGGGGAGCGUUCUGUAAGCCUGCGAAGGUGACCUGUGAGGGUUGCUGGAGGUAUCAGAAGUGCGAAUGCUGACAUAAGUAACGAUAAAGCGGGUGAAAAGCCCGCUCGCCGGAAGACCAAGGGUUCCUGUCCAACGUUAAUCGGGGCAGGGUGAGUCGACCCCUAAGGCGAGGCCGAAAGGCGUAGUCGAUGGGAAACAGGUUAAUAUUCCUGUACUUGGUGUUACUGCGAAGGGGGGACGGAGAAGGCUAUGUUAGCCGGGCGACGGUUGUCCCGGUUUAAGCAUGUAGGCUGGUUAUCCAGGCAAAUCCGGAUAAUCAAGGCUGAGGUGUGAUGACGAGGCACUACGGUGCUGAAGUAACAAAUGCCCUGCUUCCAGGAAAAGCCUCUAAGCAUCAGGUAACAUUAAAUCGUACCCCAAACCGACACAGGUGGUCAGGUAGAGAAUACCAAGGCGCUUGAGAGAACUCGGGUGAAGGAACUAGGCAAAAUGGUGCCGUAACUUCGGGAGAAGGCACGCUGGUGUGUAGGUGAAGUCCCUGCGGAUGGAGCUGAGACCAGUCGAAGAUACCAGCUGGCUGCAACUGUUUAUUAAAAACACAGCACUGUGCAAACACGAAAGUGGACGUAUACGGUGUGACGCCUGCCCGGUGCCGGAAGGUUAAUUGAUGGGGUUAUCCGUAAGGAGAAGCUCUUGAUCGAAGCCCCGGUAAACGGCGGCCGUAACUAUAACGGUCCUAAGGUAGCGAAAUUCCUUGUCGGGUAAGUUCCGACCUGCACGAAUGGCGUAAUGAUGGCCAGGCUGUCUCCACCCGAGACUCAGUGAAAUUGAACUCGCUGUGAAGAUGCAGUGUACCCGCGGCAAGACGGAAAGACCCCGUGAACCUUUACUAUAGCUUGACACUGAACAUUGAGCCUUGAUGUGUAGGAUAGGUGGGAGGCUUUGAAGCGUGGACGCCAGUCUGCGUGGAGCCGACCUUGAAAUACCACCCUUUAAUGUUUGAUGUUCUAACGUUGGCCCCUUACCGGGGUUGCGGACAGUGUCUGGUGGGUAGUUUGACUGGGGCGGUCUCCUCCCAAAGCGUAACGGAGGAGCACGAAGGUUAGCUAAUCCUGGUCGGACAUCAGGAGGUUAGUGCAAUGGCAUAAGCUAGCUUGACUGCGAGCGUGACGGCGCGAGCAGGUGCGAAAGCAGGUCAUAGUGAUCCGGUGGUUCUGAAUGGAAGGGCCAUCGCUCAACGGAUAAAAGGUACUCCGGGGAUAACAGGCUGAUACCGCCCAAGAGUUCAUAUCGACGGCGGUGUUUGGCACCUCGAUGUCGGCUCAUCACAUCCUGGGGCUGAAGUAGGUCCCAAGGGUAUGGCUGUUCGCCAUUUAAAGUGGUACGCGAGCUGGGUUUAGAACGUCGUGAGACAGUUCGGUCCCUAUCUGCCGUGGGCGCUGGAGAAUUGAGGGGGGCUGCUCCUAGUACGAGAGGACCGGAGUGGACGCAUCACUGGUGUUCGGGUUGUCAUGCCAAUGGCACUGCCCGGUAGCUAAAUGCGGAAGAGAUAAGUGCUGAAAGCAUCUAAGCACGAAACUUGCCCCGAGAUGAGUUCUCCCUGAGACUUUAAGUCUCCUGAAGGAACGUUGAAGACGACGACGUUGAUAGGCCGGGUGUGUAAGCGCAGCGAUGCGUUGAGCUAACCGGUACUAAUGAACCGUGAGGCUUAACCUU
rnacentral:rRNA from 1 species